rnacentral:rRNA from 1 species
ACUUUUUAUCACGUUGGCCUCAGAUCAGGGAGGAUUACCCGCCGAAUUUAAGCAUAUCAAUAAGCGGAGGA